GACGAACGCUGGCGGCGUGCUUAACACAUGCAAGUCGAACGGAAAGGCCCUGCUUUUGUGGGGUGCUCGAGUGGCGAACGGGUGAGUAACACGUGAGUAACCUGCCCUUGACUUUGGGAUAACUUCAGGAAACUGGGGCUAAUACCGGAUAGGAGCUCCUGCUGCAUGGUGGGGGUUGGAAAGAUUCGGCGGUUGGGGAUGGACUCGCGGCUUAUCAGCUUGUUGGUGGGGUAGUGGCUUACCAAGGCUUUGACGGGUAGCCGGCCUGGGAGGGUGACCGGCCACAUUGGGACUGAGAUACGGCCCAGACUCCUACGGGAGGCAGCGGUGGGGAAUAUUGCGCAAUGGGCGGACGCCUGAUGCAGCAGCGCCGCGUGCGGGAUGACGGCCUUCGGGUUGUGAACCGCUUUCGCCUGUGACGAAGCGUGAGUGACGGUAAUGGGUAAAGAAGCACCGGCUAACUACGUG
rnacentral:rRNA from 1 species